rnacentral:misc_RNA from 1 species
UUGGAGAAGAAAAACAACGUAUCUUUGCCCUCAUCCGUGAAGAUCGCGAUAAAUAAUAUCAAUAAAAGGGAACACGCAGUCGAUAAGGCGAAUAACAGUCUCCAGACUAGUACUUCCACUUCUUCUACGACACCGAUUCAAGAACAAACCAUAGAAACCACGACAACAGCCUAUCGUAUUUACCGAUUAAACCAAUUUCAAACUACAGAAAAUUCGCUAGAUGUCGAGGAGGACUACGACGAAGACUCUGACUAUCUGGAAGAUAACGAUGACUAUCAGAAGUCUAAUGACUCGAAACUAGACGAUGACAAAAGCGACGCGAAAUGGGGUAAUUGUAUUGGUAAUUUAGUAUAUCAGCAUAACAUAAUCAUCAGUGUACGCCAAGCGUCACAAGCUGUCGCGGAUAUAACUACGUCGGUGGAUGGACAUCUUUGCAUUACAUGCAUCAGAGUGGAAUCAUUGAAUCGUAACAAGAGCGUCACGGUGAAACUGGAAGUGAAUCGUAGAGAGGACGGCAGCCUUAUCAACGCGAAGCUCAAGUUCAACGGCUUCCAUCUCGAGCAAUUAUCAUAUUCCGUGAGGAUGUGGGCCGUCAACAAAGUAGAAAACAGUUGCAGCUUCGUACCGUAAUUUUAUAUUAAAACAAAUGAACCAUACAAUACCCUCGUACAUCAAAUUCAUUGUUCCUUCUUAACCCUUUCGCUCCUGAUAUUGCAUUAAUAUUCCAUUAAUUAAGCCUGUCAAAAGUCAAACUAAUCAACUGCAUUCUCUAUUAAUGUUUUAAUUUUAUUCCAUUAAUAUUCGAUUCUCAAGAACCAAAUGGCUUUCUCUCGUAAGUUCAUUCAUUGCAAGAAGAGGGCACAGAAAAUAAUAAAUUCGAAGAUAAAUUGAAAAAACAGAAUUUAUAACAUCUGUACUUUGCAAUUGAUAAAGUUGUUCAGUGUGGCUUCUGAGCGGUUCGAUUGACUAAACGACGAAUGUAUUUGUUCUCAGUAAAACUACUCUGUUUCGGUGUAUAUGUUCUUUUUACAAAACCACCGGGGAAAAAAUUUGUUUCUAUGGUCAAUAAAUAAUAAAGAGAGCUUCUCUCGCGAGUAAAAAGAAUUCGGUUCCAAAAGGUUUAACGUCAUUCAUCGUCCGUAAAAUACAUCGUUUCCUCCAAACACUAUGAAAUAAUCAGUCUGACCAUGACGGCGAAUAAACGUAAUUCGAAGAAUCUUGUCGGACGGGUUCCCCUUCAGGAACUUUUGGGCACAGCUGUCGGAAGGGGUGGCGGUGGUACGUCUGGUAUUUUCUCUUU